rnacentral:rRNA from 1 species
GCGCAGCAGGCGAGAAUACUGGCCAAUGCGCGAAAGCGUGAGCCGGCUAAUCUGAGUGGUUCCCCAUCGGGAACCUUUUGCCAAGUGUACAAAGCUUGGCGAAUAAGGAGAGGGCAAGACUGGUGCCAGCCGCCGCGGUAAAACCAGCUCUUCGAAUCGUGGGCAUGAUUAUUUGGCUUAAAGUGUGCGUAGCAGGACAGGAUAAAGUCUCCUGUGAAAUGCCAGGUCUUAAGCCUGGCGCGUGCGGGGAGAUACUAUCCGUCUUGGGGACCGGGAUAGGUAAUGAUGUACACGAAU